UAAGCUUUAGAAAUUUUUUAAAGAAAAUAUUGAUGAAUUUGGAGCUACGGAAAAGUUAUUGUUCCAGAGAAACAGAAAUUGGGCACCUUGGUCACGUAAGCCUGGAUACAAAAUACCCUAAACAUUUACCAUCUCUACUCUAAAUGGAGGUACGACACACCCGCCCCUCAAACAUAACCCAGAAGUUGCGCACGAUCUUACGUCUUUAAAGAAAAAAAUAAACUUUUUAUGUAAGCUAGUUAACUUGUCGUGAACUAGCAUAUAUAAAAAAUAUUAUCCUUUUAACAAUGUACCAAAUUGGACUUACACGUUUGGCUUCCCCGAAAUUGAAUGUGAGCAUGUAGGUCAACUUAAUGUUUUCUUUUACAACCAUCUCCUACGGUGGAAAGAGAGAACAUGUUACGAGCUAGUCUUCUCAAGUUCAUGAAGGUAUACUUUGUUGAAAAGAUGUUUACAAAACAAAAGCUGCAAAGUUUGCUAGCAUGUUUCUUUGAUCCGAGAACAAACGAGUGUCUUACAGAAAAAGAAUAUCAAGAAGCAGAAAACAAACUUAUGAAAAAAUUUGCAAAGUCAGCAUUCUGACAAUAUCCUCGAAGAUCAACGCAUACAAAUAUUUGUUUGCAAAAUGAACAAAAUUAUUCGAGAAGUGGUUAGUUAU